AUUGAACGCUGGCGGCAGGCCUAACACAUGCAAGUCGAACGAGUGGCGGACGGGUGAGUAAUGUCUGGGAAACUGCCCGAUGGAGGGGGAUAACUACUGGAACCGGUAGCUAAUACCGCAUACCAUCGGAUGUGCCCAGAUUGGAUUAGCUUGUAGGUGAGGUAACGGCUCACCUAGGCGACGAUCCCUAGGUGGUCUGAGAGGAGGACGAGCAACACUGGAAAUGAGACACUGUUCAGACUCCUACGGGAGGCAGCAGUGGGGUAGAUUGCACAAGGGGCGGAAGCCUGAUGCAGCCAGGCCGCGUGUAGGAAGAAGGCCUUCGGGUUGUAAAGUACUUUCAGCGGGGAGGCGUUACUCGCAGAAGAAGCACCGGCUAACUCCGUGCCAGCAGCCGCGGGAAUAC
rnacentral:rRNA from 1 species